rnacentral:rRNA from 1 species
GUGGGGAAUAUUGGACAAUGGGCGAAAGCCUGAUCCAGCCAUGCCGCGUGUGUGAAGAAGGUCUUCGGAUUGUAAAGCACUUUAAGUUGGGAGGAAGGGCAGUAAGUUAAUACCUUGCUGUUUUGACGUUACCGACAGAAUAAGCACCGGCUAACUUCGUGCCAGCAGCCGCGGUAAUACGAAGGGUGCAAGCGUUAAUCGGAAUUACUGGGCGUAAAGCGCGCGUAGGUGGUUUUGUAAGUUGGAGGUGAAAUCCCCGGGAUCAACCUGGGAACUGCCUCCAAAACUGCAUGGCUAGAGUACGGUAGAGGGUAGUGGAAUUUCCUGUGUAGCGGUGAAAUGCGUAGAUAUAGGAAGGAACACCAGUGGCGAAGGCGACUACCUGGACUGAUACUGACACUGAGGUGCGAAAGCGUGGGGAGCAAACAGGAUUAGAUACCCUUGUAGUCC